GCCCCUGUAGCUCAAUUGGAUAGAGCAGUACCCUUCUAAGGUAAAGGUUGCAGAUUCGAGUUCUGCCAGGGGCA
rnacentral:tRNA from 2 species